rnacentral:rRNA from 1 species
CCCGCACAAGCGGCGGAGCAUGCGGAUUAAUUCGAUGCAACGCGAAGAACCUUACCAAGGCUUGACAUGUUCUCGAUCGCCGUCGAGAUACGGUUUCCCCUUUGGGGCGGGUUCACCGGUAGUGCAUCGUUGUCGUCAGCACGUGUUGUGAGAUGUUGGGUUAAGUCCCGCAACGAGCGCCACCCUCGUUUCACGUGGCGAGCAUCUCGUGGGGGGGACUCCUCGGAGGAUGCCGGGGUCAACUCGGCGGAAGGUGAGGAUGAGGUCAAAUCAUCAUGCCCCUUAUGUCGUGGGCUCCAUGCAUGUUAGAAUGGCCGGUACAACGGGGUGAGACAUUGCCAGGUCGAGCUAAUCCCAAAAAGCCGGUCCCAGUUAGAAUUGGCGUCAGCACCUUGUCCCCAUGAAGUCCGAGUCGGUUGAAAUUGUAGUCCGGUAUCGCUUCGGUUUACACGAUCCCGGCCC